CAACCUCGGAAUUGCCCUUGAUACUGGCGAUCUUGAGUAUGAGAGAGGUAUGUGGAACUCCGAGUGUAGAGGUGAAAUUCGUAGAUAUUCGGAAGAACACCAGUGGCGAAGGCGACAUACUGGCUCAUUACUGACGCUGAGGCGCGAAAGCGUGGGGAGCAAACAGGAUUAGAUACCCUGGUAGUCCACGCCGUAAACGAUGAUUGCUAGUUGUCGGGCUGCAUGCAGUUCGGUGACGCAGCUAACGCAUNAAGCAAUCCGCCUGGGGAGUACGGUCGCAAGAUNAUNACUCANANGAAUAGACAGNGGCCCGCACAAGCGGUGGAGCAUGUGGUAUAAU
rnacentral:rRNA from 1 species